GACGAACGCUGGCGGCGUGCUUAACACAUGCAAGUCGAACGAAGUGGCGAACGGGUGAGUAAUACGUGGGUAACCUGCCCUCCUUUUUGGGAUAAGCCUUGGAAACGGGGUCUAAUACCGAAUAAAGGGGGAUGGGCUCGCGGCCUAUCAGCUUGGUGGGGGGGUGAUGGCCUACCAAGGCGGUGACGGGUAGCCGGCCUUAGAGGGUGACCUGCCAAAUUGGGACUGAGGUCAGGCCCAGACGCCUACGGGAGGCAGCAGUGGGGAAUAUUGCACAAGGGGCGCAAGCCUGAUGCAGCCAUGCCGCGUGUGUGAAGAAGGCCUUCGGGUUGUAAAGAACUUUCAGCGAGGAAACGUUACUCGCAGAAGAAGCACCGGCUAACUCCGUGCCAGCAGCCGCGGUAAUUC
rnacentral:rRNA from 1 species